CAUAGUGAUCCGGUGGUUCUGAAUGGAAGGGCCAUCGCUCAACGGAUAAAAGGUACUCCGGGGAUAACAGGCUGAUACCGCCCAAGAGUUCAUAUCGACGGCGGUGUUUGGCACCUCGAUGUCGGCUCAUCACAUCCUGGGGCUGAAGUAGGUCCCAAGGGUAUGGCUGUUCGCCAUUUAAAGUGGUACGCGAGCUGGGUUUAGAACGUCGUGAGACAGUUCGGUCCCUAUCUGCCGUGGGCGCUGGAGAAUUGAGGGGGGCUGCUCCUAGUACGAGAGGACCGGAGUGGACGCAUCACUGGUGUUCGGGUUGUCAUGCCAAUGGCACUGCCCGGUAGCUAAAUGCGGAAGAGAUAAGUGCUGAAAGCAUCUAAGCACGAAACUUGCCCCGAGAUGAGUUCUCCCUGAGACUUUAAGUCUCCUGAAGGAACGUUAAAGACGAUGACGUUGAUAGGCCGGGUGUGUAAGCGCAGCGAUGCGUUGAGCUAACCGGUACUAAUGAACCGUGAGGCUUAACCUU
rnacentral:rRNA from 1 species